GGCAGUUCUUGGGUGACACACCCUGGAAUCAGGCUCCCUCCUCUCUGGUUCUGGGGUGUGUCACCCGAGAACCGCC
rfam:Myotis lucifugus cont2.889, whole genome shotgun sequence.